rnacentral:rRNA from 1 species
UACGGAGGGGACGAGCGUUGUCCGAAGUUACUGGGCGUAAAGCGCACGUAGGCGGACUACUAAGUCAGGGGUGAAAUCCCGGGGCUCAACCCCGGAACUGCCUUUGAUACUGAUAGUCUCGAGUCCGGAAGAGGUGAGUGGAAUUCCGAGUGUAGAGGUGAAAUUCGUAGAUAUUCGGAGGAACACCAGUGGCGAAGGCGGCUCACUGGUCCGGUACUGACGCUGAGGUGCGAAAGCGUGGGGAGCAAACAGG